UACAGAGGGUGCGAGCGUUAAUCGGAAUUACUGGGCGUAAAGCGCGCGUAGGCGGCUUUUCAAGUCGAUUGUGAAAUCCCGAGGCUCAACCUCGGGUCUGCAGUCGAUACGAGCAAACUAGAGUGUUGCAGGGGAGACUGGAAUUCCUGGUGUAGCGGUGAAAUGCGUAGAUAUCUGGAGGAACACCGGUGGCGAAGGCGGCAUCCUGGACCGGUAGUUGACGCUGAGGCGCGAAAGCG
rnacentral:rRNA from 1 species